GUCGAACGCUUCUUUUUCCACCGGAGCUUGCUCCACCGGAAAAAGAGGAGUGGCGAACGGGUGAGUAACACGUGGGUAACCUGCCCAUCAGAAGGGGAUAACACUUGGAAACAGGUGCUAAUACCGUAUAACAAUCAAAACCGCAUGGUUUUGAUUUGAAAGGCGCUUUCGGGUGUCGCUGAUGGAUGGACCCGCGGUGCAUUAGCUAGUUGGUGAGGUAACGGCUCACCAAGGCCACGAUGCAUAGCCGACCUGAGAGGGUGAUCGGCCACAUUGGGACUGAGACACGGCCCAAACUCCUACGGGAGGCAGCAGUAGGGAAUCUUCGGCAAUGGACGAAAGUCUGACCGAGCAACGCCGCGUGAGUGAAGAAGGUUUUCGGAUCGUAAAACUCUGUUGUUAGAGAAGAACAAGGAUGAGAGUAACUGUUCAUCCCUUGACGGUAUCUAACCAGAAAGCCACGGCUAACUACGUGCCAGCAGCCGCGGUAAUACGUAGGUGGCAAGCGUUGUCCGGAUUUAUUGGGCGUAAAGCGAGCGCAGGCGGUUUCUUAAGUCUGAUGUGAAAGCCCCCGGCUCAACCGGGGAGGGUCAUUGGAAACUGGGAGACUUGAGUGCAGAAGAGGAGAGUGGAAUUCCAUGUGUAGCGGUGAAAUGCGUAGAUAUAUGGAGGAACACCAGUGGCGAAGGCGGCUCUCUGGUCUGUAACUGACGCUGAGGCUCGAAAGCGUGGGGAGCAAACAGGAUUAGAUACCCUGGUAGUCCACGCCGUAAACGAUGAGUGCUAAGUGUUGGAGGGUUUCCGCCCUUCAGUGCUGCAGCUAACGCAUUAAGCACUCCGCCUGGGGAGUACGACCGCAAGGUUGAAACUCCAAGGAAUUGACGGGGGCCCGCACAAGCG
rnacentral:rRNA from 1 species